AGUUAACGUUGGCGGCGUGCCUAACACAUGCAAGUCGAACGCGUCCUAUGGGCAACCAUAGGUUGAGUGGCGAACGGGUGAGUAACACGUGGGUAAUCUUCCUUCAAGUGGGGAAUAAGCUCUCGAAAGGGAGUCUAAUACCGCAUGACGUUCCGGGACACAAGUCCCGUAAUUAAAGCCGCAAGGCGCUUGAAGAUGAGCCUGCGUCCUAUUAGCUAGUUGGUAGGGUAACGGCCUACCAAGGCUGAGAUGGGUAGCCGGCCUGAGAGGGUGAACGGCCACACUGGGACUGAGACACGGCCCAGACUCCUACGGGAGGCAGCAGUGAGGAAUUUUGCGCAAUGGGGGAAACCCUGACGCAGCGACGCCGCGUGGAGGACGAAGGCCUUCGGGUCGUAAACUCCUGUCAGAGGUGAAGAAUGCCCGCAAGGGCUUGACGGUAACCUCAGAGGAAGCCCCGGCUAACUACGUG
rnacentral:rRNA from 1 species